rnacentral:miRNA from 1 species
AAUCCACGCUGAGCUUGGCAUC